UACGUAGGGUCCGAGCGUUGUCCGGAAUUAUUGGGCGUAAAGGGCUCGUAGGCGGUUUGUCGCGUCUGCUGUGAAAACUGGAGGCUCAACCUCCAGCCUGCAGUGGGUACGGGCAGACUAGAGUGCGGUAGGGGAGAUUGGAAUUCCUGGUGUAGCGGUGGAAUGCGCAGAUAUCAGGAGGAACACCGAUGGCGAAGGCAGAUCUCUGGGCCGUAACUGACGCUGAGGAGCGAAAGCAUGGGGAGCGAACAGG
rnacentral:rRNA from 1 species